AGAGUUUGAUCCUGGCUCAGAACGAACGCUGGCGGCGUGCCUAACACAUGCAAGUCGAGCGAGAACGCCUGCUUCGGCAGGUUAGUAAAGCGGCGAACGGGUGAGUAACACGUGAGUCACCUACCCUCCAGUAGGGGAUAACACUUCGAAAGGUGUGCUAAUACCGUGUACGGUCCCGACCGUGUCUUCGGAUGGGACGAAAGGUGGCCUCUCUAUAGAAGCUGCCGCUGGGGGAUGGGCUCGCGCCCCAUUAGCUAGUUGGUAGGGUAACGGCCUACCAAGGCAACGAUGGGUAGCUGGUCUGAGAGGACGAUCAGCCACACUGGAACUGAGACACGGUCCAGACUCCUACGGGAGGCAGCAGUGGGGAAUAUUGCACAAUGGGGGAAACCCUGAUGCAGCAACGCCGCGUGCGGGAUGAAGGCCUUCGGGUCGUAAACCGCUGUCAGGGGGGAAGAAAUCGCUCCGGUGAAUAGCCGGAGUGGAUGACGGUACCCCCAGAGGAAGCCCCGGCUAACUCCGUGCCAGCAGCCGCGGUAAGACGGAGGGGGCGAGCGUUGUUCGGAAUCAUUGGGCGUAAAGCGCGCGUAGGCGGUCGAGUAAGUCGGACGUGAAAGCCCAGGGCUCAACCCUGGAAGUGCGUUCGAUA
rnacentral:rRNA from 1 species